CUAACAUCUCUGGAAAACAAAGCCUUCUGUUUAUCCAUAGAACAUGUACAGCAUGGCAUGGACAGUAGACUCAAACAGUUACCGUGCCCGGACAACAUGCCUCAACCCUGACCUGGAGGGACCACUUCUGUGGCAGAGAGAGCAUGUUUUAGUUUCUCUGUUCAUCUCUUAGUCCCAUGCAGUA
ensembl:misc_RNA